rnacentral:rRNA from 1 species
AUGGUGUUUGGGCCACUUCCACCGGUGCUCCGCGGGUUGUCGUUUCACGAGAGCAAUGACUGGGAGAACAAGAUGAUGAACGUCACCGGUGCUUCGCUCGCGUGCAUCGCGCUGCUUGCGCUCGGGACGUGCAUGUCCACAAAAGAGCCAUGA